CCGCCCCUCCCCCUUCCCCUUGCAGCCACCCUCCACUACUUCCUCCUCCCUCUAGAUCUCCCCCCACGCAGCAAGGAUCGAGAAGAGGAGGAGCAAGAUGGAUUGAAGAGGAAGAGAGGAUCAAGGAGAUGUUCUACCCCCAUCUCUUGCAGAUUUUCUUGGGGAAACCAUAGGUAAGGAUAGAAUCCUUGUUCCUCCCUAUAAUUAUAUGCUUUUGGAGGUUGUGGAUCAUGUGGAUUGAAGGAUUAGAGGUUGGAUUAGAUGUGGGGUUAGGUUUUGAUCUCGAAUUUAAUUUCUGCAGAAUGGCAGAUUCGAUAGUUUCUGUUCAUGUCAGUUUUCCGUGGUCUUAGUGGCCUCAAAAAAAUAAAAAGUCUAUAUAUGAGUCGUAGAUAAUUUGUAGAUCUUUCCGUGGCCGCGAAGAACACCUCAAUCGGACAUCAGAACAGAAAGUUAUGACAGUUUGAUUAUAGCAGUUUUUCAGUCUUAUAAUUCUGUGCAGAAUCUGUUCUCUUAAGAGUUAGGCAAUUUUAUCAACAGAAUUAAACUGUGGGUUGGUAAAAGAAGUUGUAGAUAAUUUCAUAAGCUUUCCAGAUUGUUAAAGAGUGCAUUCAUAUGAUUUGUGAAACUCCAGUUAUGUUUGUUUUACUGUGGCUGUUCCUGUUUGCCUGACAAAAAUGAGUGGGUCUGUUCACUGGUGGGUUUCAUCUAGUAAAUGGCCAAAUUGGCUCUUCCAACUAUGGAGACUUUUGUAUAGGGAUAAAAGUUCUUACUUCCAACAGAAUUUCAUAAUUUUUGGUUCAGUAGUUUGGGAGAUAUCGAAUUUUAAAGUUAACCAUACUGCUGUCUAAAACAGAUUCAGUCAGUUAUCUUGUCAGAUGUUUUAGAACUUGUAGAUGGCAGAAUUUAAUUAUCCAUUGAAUACUGAAGUUGUAGAGUAUUUUGUGUAGAUACUCCUAGAGUAUUUGUUUGAUAUCACCGCUGUUUUAAUUUUAAAGAUACAAAAUUAACAAACAGCGCUGCUGCUGUAUGGCAUGUGGUUCAGGGUGAGAGUCUUUCCACUGGGUCUUGGUUUCAAGUGUAGGAGUGUUUUGUUGAUUGAUGGCAAAUGUUUGUGAAAUAUUUGUACUAAGUUUUAUGCCCGCUAGCACGUGGCUAUACUCCAGAUCAUGUCUAGUACAUUUCUUCUUCUUCGAUGAAGGCAAGUGAAUGUAGCGGUGGUUGCUUCCGUUCUAACCUGUUAUUUCUAUUGCCUACACUCUAAUAUUCAGAAGUAUUGGAUUCUUUUAUAAUUGGACUCUAUGGUGAUGCUUUACUUGCUUGCAUUAUACUGAUGCUCAAUCAUAUAUUGAUGAUGAUUGUGAUUCGAGUAUGAUUCAUGAGAUUAAUUCACACCCCUGAAGGUAAAUGAAGUAUUAUUUGAGGUUGGUAUUGUAUCUGAAGGUAAAUGAAGUAUUAUUUGAGGUUUGUAUUGUAUCUGAAGGAAGUGAAGGUUAUUGAUAAAUGCAACAUGCCAUAUACAUUGCAUGACUCAUUUGCAUCUGAAGUUUUGUCGUGACCUAUGGUCUGACCGUACCGGUACAAUUUAGCAUCGUACGUUGCCCGAGGAGGGGUACGAUGCGGCUUCAUACCCUUAGAGGUAUGAAGGCAGAGGACAUAUGCAUUGCAUUCAUAUGCAUUCAUUGAAGUGAUAUUUGCAGAUGAUGUGGUUUUAUACUCUCAGAGGUAUGAAGAUAGAGCACCUACACAUUGCAUUCCUAUGCAUACAUUGAAGUGAUAUUUGCAGGUAUUAUUGACGCACGGAAGUGUUAUAGAACCUAUUGUGGUUGUUCGAGAAAAUGAGAUGGUAUUGGUUAUAGUGGGACUACUGAGUUCCAUAUCUACAAGUAUUUCUGAUUUUAAUUGUGACUCUUUUAAAAUGUUGAUGAAUUCAAUUUGUGGUUUAAAGAUCUCGUCAAAAUUAUUCGCUUGUUGAGAUGUUUCAUCUCACUCUUGCAUUACUCAAUGCAGGUGCUUGUUGCUCAUCAAGGGAAGUGGGAAGUAGCAGCACAUCCACCUUCACUCUUAUAAUAACACUGAUUAGGCGCAGUCAUGAUUUAAUUAGAAGCUUCUUGUCAAAGGACGUUUGUUUCUAACUAGUUGUGCACACUGGAUAAUUUAGCUCAUGCCGUUAUGGUUGUCUUCCCAUUGCUAGCAGACUAUUAAUGUCUAUUAUGUUUUCUUAUCAUGAUAUCUAUUUAUACUUUGUUGCUUCCCCGUUUAUGCCAUUUUCAAGGGAGAUGCUGUGGAAAUUUUAUAUACGAAUGUUAGAUGUGUAGUUUAGUAGCAUUCUGGGGUGUUUGUGGAUCCCGGGGUGUUACAGCCGCCCCCGUCCCACCACGCCGCGCCCGACGCACCCGCAGCGCCGCCCGCCCGUGCCGCCGCCAAGCCCGAUGCCCCGCAGCCGACGCCACCGACGCACCGCCGACCAUGCCGCGCUCUGCGCCAUCCCGUCGACCUCGGCUCCCGUCAACCUCGCCUUCAUUAAGGUAUUUUAUUUUGCGUAUUUUAUUUUGGAUUUUCGGUGGCCUUUUAUUUAAUUGCCGCCGAAAUUAAUAUAUUUUUGUAAUUGUGUUUGUUGAUUUGUGCGUUUGAUUAAUAUUAUUGAUUAGUGUGUUUAUAUAUGUCUUAUAUGUUUAGGGAAGGCAUAUGUGGUAUAUGUGGAAUGUACUAGUGGUAUAUGUGUUUGUUGAUUAGUGUGUGUGAUUAUAUUGUGCACUAUUUGUGAAUUGUGCAAUUGUGGUUUUAAUGUUUCUGUUAUUUUUAUUGUGAUUAUAUUAUAAAUUUGCUGUUAUUUUUGCAAUUUUCCCAAUUUUUUUCUCUGAAAAUAAGAACACUAUUUUCGGUAGAUAGUAUUUUCGGCGGCCUGGCCUGGCGACCGCCGAAAAUAAAUUAUUUUCUGCGGUUGUUAUGGCGGCCUCCAAAAAUAAGCUAUUUUCGGCGGCUGGUCCCUGGCCGCCGAAAAUAAAGGCUUAUUUUCGGCUGAUUUUUUCUGGCGGCCAAGAACCGCCGAAAAUAGGCCUAAGGCCGCCGAAAAUAGCUUAUUUUUGGCGGCACAGGCCUUAUUUUCGGCGGUUUCUGGCCGCCGAAAAUGACUGUAGCUCCCAUAGUGGGAGUGACUGCAUAAAUUUAAAGUUGUAGCAAUAGCAUAACUACGAAGGUAAAGUAUAAUACCCAAGUUUGAUCAAGGAAUACGGUAGAAAAGGUUAGGUGUAUCCGAAUAGGUAACCCAUCAAAUUAUGCAUAUAUAUCCAAGAGUAAACUUUAUUAAAUGUAUUGUUUGGGAUCAAACAGAGUAUGUAGAGUGAGAAGUCCACUUGCCUUGCUUAUUGAAAACUUGAGUUUCUUCCACGGAUAGGAAUAGAUCUUGAUUCUUAACUACUAGAUCAACCACUGAAUAUCACACAAACAAACAAGAAGAACAAACACCACUCAAUAACAUACAACAUUAAACAUACAUAAAGCUAAAAGAAAGCCUAACGAAAAGAGCUUUCGCUUUUCAAAAACAUUACACGCAAAGGUUAUAAUAAAAAGGUAUUCUUUUCAAAAAUGUGUGUUCUAUACUUUAUAAAACAAGACAUGAGCUUAAAAAUAUCUUAAUUAAAAUAUACAAAUAUUUGGUUCACCAAUUUAAUCUUUUAUAAAACGUCAUAUGUGAUAUGUCUAAGAUUAAGGGUUUAUAAGAUGAUAAAACAUGUUAUAACAAUAUUAAACCUUUUUAUCCUUUUAGAAAAGAUAUAUGUUAUAUAUCUAAGGUUAAUGGGCUAUGAAAUACAUUAUUACUUUUGGAAGCAUUAUGGAACAUCUUAUAAAUCAUUGUUAAACAUUCACUUAUGAUGAUAGGUAUUAUGUGAAAAGAUCAUUAUUAUUAAACACCUAUUCUAUGAGAAGUUAGUUUAUAGGCCCUUAAGUGGAUUUUCAUGCAAAAGAUAAUGAACAAAUAACUAUCUUUUAAUUUCAUUAGAAAACACAUAGUCUAUAUUUAUAUUUGAAGUUAAUAUAUAGCUAUUUUCGGCGGCUGCUCCCUGGCAGCCGAAAAUAAAGGCUUAUUUUCGGCUGAUUUUUUCUGGCGGCCAAGAACCGCCGAAAAUAGGCCUAAGGCCGCCGAAAAUAGCUUAUUUUUGGAGGCACAUGCCUUAUUUUCGGCGGUUUCUGGCCGCCGAAAAUGACUGUAGCUCCCAUAGUGGGAGUGACUGCAUAAAUUUAAAGUUGUAGCAAUAGCAUAACUACGAAGGUAAAGUAUAAUACCCAAGUUUGAUCAAGGAAUACGGUAGAAAAGGUUAGGUGUAUCCGAAUAGGUAACCCAUCAAAUUAUGCAUAUAUAUCCAAGAGUAAACUUUAUUAAAUGUAUUGUUUGGGAUCAAACAUAGUAUGUAGAGGGAGAAGUCCACUUGCCUUGCUUAUUGAAAACUUGAGUUUCUUCCACGGAUAGGAAUAGAUCUUGAUUCUUAACUACUAGAUCAACCACUGAAUAUCACACAAACAAACAAGAAGAACAAACACCACUCAAUAACAUACAACAUUCACCAUACAUAAAGCUAAAAGAAAGCCUAACGAAAAGAGCUUUCACUUAUCAAAAACAUUACACACAAAGGUUAUAAUAAAAAGGUAUUCUUUUCAAAAAUGUGUGUUCUAUACUUUAUAAAACAAGACAUGAGCUUAAAAAUAUCUUAGUUAAAAUAUACAAAUAUUUGGUUCACCAAUUUAAUCUUUUAUAAAACGUCAUAUGUGAUAUGUCUAAGAUUAAGGGUUUAUAAGAUGAUAAAACAUGUUAUAACAAUAUUAAACUUUUUUAUCCUUUUAGAAAAGAUAGAUGUUAUAUAUCUAAGGUUAAUGGGCUAUGAAAUACAUUAUUACUUUUGGAAGCAUUAUGGAACAUCUUAUAAUCAUUGUUAAACAUUCACUUAUGAUGAUAGGUAUUAUGUGAAAAGAUCAUUAUUAUUAAACACCUAUUCUAUGAGAAGUUAGGUUAUAGGCCCUUAAGUGGAUUUUCAUGCAAAAGAUAAUGAACAAAUAACUAUCUUUUAAUUUCAUUAGAAAACACAUAGUCUAUAUUUAUAUUUGAAGUCAAUAUAUAAAGUAACAUUUUAAGUUAUAAAAGAACUUAAACUCUUAUUACUUUAUUUUAUCCUUUAGGAAAAGCUAAGUGAUUCGUCUAUAAUGUGGAGUAAAUUUUAUGAAAUCAUUAAUCAUGCCAUAAAUCUAGUUAAGAACAAAUUGACUAUAGGUUUAAUUAAUAAAUUAUGAUACAGGAUAAUUAAUCUAUUAAUUAUCUUUAAUUCUAUCGUAGGAACAAAUGAUUUAAUUCAUUAGAAAGGAAAUUAUGUAUAAACUAUCAUUUUAGUUUAUAAAAGCAAUGACCCUUGUUAUCUUUUAAUUAAGAAAAUAUAAAUAAUCUAUUAAUUGGACAUAUAUUUAUCUUCUAUUUUCAUUAAGAAACAUAUGGUCUACAUAUUCUUUUAAGUUUCUAUUUAAUACGGCUAUACUUAAACAUCUAUAACGAACCUUGUUAAAUAUGAUAUCUAUUAAAAGGUCAUUUUAAACUAGAAACAAGUUAUCUAAUUCUUUAGUAAGAAAAAUGUGUUUACCAACAUAACUAUCAAUUCCUUUAUUAGAAAAGUAUGAGUGUCUAGUUAAGUCAUUUUAACAUUAUUAUAAAUUCUACUCUUUCGGUUUUCUUCUUUCUUUUCUAAAUAGAAUUUAUACGUAUAACUAAAAAUUGUUUAUUUAUAAUUCUUCUGACAUUAAUAUACUAAGAAUUAAUUGUAAAUUAUUAAAUCGGACUUUUAAUCACAUUUUUAUGGUUAUUAUGACAUAAAUAAGUAUUUUACUAAUUCUAAGUAAUUAAUUGCUAUACUUAUGAAUACAUUUAUCAUGACUAGUAACAUCUAUAUUUUCAUUUGAUCGAAAAUACGUGGCUUAGUACCUAUUUCAAUUUCUUAUAUCACUACUAACCAAUAUCAUUCCAUGUGCUAAAGCGAGUUUUAAUUGUAGACGUAUUCUAGUAUGAAAAUCACCGAGGUAGUGAAUCGUGAUCGUAAUCAUUUUUAAAAUUAUAAAAUCAUACACAUAUUCAAAGCAUUGUCGUGGGGUUCGAUUUUGGCUACACGUAUACAUCGAAAUCUCUAAAAAUCAUACACAUGAAUCACCAAAUCAUCUCAAUAUUACAACGAUAAUUCACAAGAUCCAUAAAUUAAUUCAAAACAUGAUUUAGAAAAUAAAUCAACAUUUUGGGGUUGUCUUCAACCUUGGGACAAACGGCGGACGGGUUUGGGCGUGCGUCUAGGCGAAGGCUCGGUACGACGGGUGCGUAGCUCUGGCAAGCUCCACGGGCUCUGGCAACGGUGUGGCGAACUCCGGCGACGGCGGUGGUGGCUCUAACGGCGAGGAGAUUGAGAGAGAGUGAGGGAGCUCGGGGAGGAAGAGAGCUCGUGUAGGGAGGAGCAAGGGCUCGGCAGAUUUUAUAGGGAGAGGGUGCUGGGGAGAGAGAGGUAUGGCCGGCAGGUUCAAGGCCAUCAAUGGAGGGAGGGAGUAAGGGAGAGGAGAAACGGCUCCAUUGAAGCUUCUUUACUCGCAAUGAAGAACGGACAUGGGACUUGAGGCUUCGGUCGUAGGCAGCACUUCGGCUGGCGGCGGGCGGCGGGCGUGGUCGGGGUCUUGGGCGCUUGGUGUCGCGGGCGGCUUGGGCGCCUGGGCGCGUGCUCGGUCUGGCAGCGACGCACGGUGCUGGCUAGGGCGCGGCGCUGGUCCUUGUUGGGCCCCUAGUGGGCUUUAGGGUUACGGUUAGGGUUUAGUUUUUUUAUUUUUCUAUUUUUUUAUUUUCUAAUUUCAAAAACAUAUUUUAAAUAACCAUAAAAUUCAUAAUAAUUAAACAAAAAUUAUUUAUAAAUAAAAUAUUUAUUUUUGGACUAAUAAUUAUUAUAUUAAUUAUUUGGAUUUUCAUUUAAGAAGAAAUGAUAUUCAAUAUGCAAAAUCAAUUAUGACCAAUCAAAAAUCAUUCCAAAUGCAAAUAAAUAACAAACACUUAAAAUAAAAUUCAUUACACAAAUACCAUCAGUAAGCUAACUGUACUAUUUUUAUUUAUUGGUUUUUAUAGUGUUACAGAUCUCAUCUCAUUUCCAUUGAGGAAUUUGUAGCAGCUGCAAUAGACCAACUGGUUUUUGAUGUUCUGCCUUGACUCUGUGACAACUAUCAUAUAUAGCCACGUGUUAUGUAAUCUCUCUUUUUGUAACACCCCGUCCAAUCCCUGAACCGACGGUACUUACUCCUGGCAGCUCUCUAGGAUCAUAUAUCGUCUCCACAGACCAACACGGGUCUUUUGUGCGCACUUUGUCCUCACUCAUGCGCACUCGAGAAAAUUUCCUGGUCGGUCACCCAUCCCAAAUUGCUCCAAGCCAAGCACGCUUAACUUGGAGGUUCUUUCGAGAUAGGCUUCCGAAAAAAAAGAUUCACCUUGUUGAUAUGAUUACUCUAUUAAUUCUAUUAAGCCUUGGGCCAGGACAUCCCAUCCUAGAGGCCAGGAUAUCACAAUCCACCCCCUUAGAAGACCGACGUCCUCGUCGGUCAACCCCAAUCUAGGAACCUUCCCUCUUGGCCACGUCUGUAUGUCUAGUGUCAUCAUAUGACAUGCCAUGUGACCACUCCGGGCCCACAUGCGCCAUGCGCCAUAUACCCGAACCCCCUAGCCCACACACGCCCGUGAAACCGCGAGGGUCAGCUCUGAUAUCACUUGUAACACCCCGUCCAAUCCCCGAACCGACGGUACUUACUCCUGGCAGCUUUCUAGGAUCAUAUAUUGUCUCCACAUACCAACACGGGUCUUCUGUGCGCACUUUGUCCUCACUCAUGCGCACCCGAGAAAACUUCUCGGUCGGUCACCCAUCCCAAAUUGCUCCAAGCCAAGCACGCUUAACUUGGAGGUUCUUUCGACAUAGGCUUCCGAAAAAGCAGAUUCACCUUGUUGAUACGACUUACUCUAUUAAUUCUAUUAAGCCUUGGGCCAGGACAUCCCAUCCCAGGGGCCAGGAUAUCACACUUUUCAUUCCGUACCACCAGAAUUUCUUCUUUAGAUCCUGAUACAUCUUCUCACUCCCGGGGUGUAUGGAAUAGGAUGUAUCAUGGGCUUCUCUAAGGAUUAACUUCUAAAUAGACUUGAUAUUGGGAACACAAAUGCGGUCUUUGGACCACACCACGCCUUUUCUACAUCUUCUCAAAAAUCUUUGCCUCUUCCUUCUAGAUUAGCUGCUGGAUCUCAUUGAUCUUCUCAUUGUUCUUUUGCGCUUCUUUGAUUUCCCGCUCUAAGGUGGGUUUCAACUCAACUGUUACUCCUUGCGUGUUGUUCAAAAAUCUGAGGCAUAGUCUGUCAACUUCCUUGGCUAAAUCAUAGGGCAUCGGGUGAACGACCAUCAUGUUGACUUGACUUUUUCUGCUUAGAGCAUCUGCCACCACAUUUGCUUUACCUGGAUGGUAAUGUAUCUCUAGCUCGUAAUCCUUGAUCAACUCCAACCAUCUUCGCUAUCUCAUGUUUAGCUCUGACUGGGUGAAUAUGUAUUCCACACUCUUGUGAUACGUGUAUACAUAACAUUUCUACGCAUACAGGUAGCGCCUCCAUGUCUUUAAAGCAUGAACCAAUGCUGCUAACUCCAGGUCGUGGGUUGGAUAUUUCCUUUCAUGGACUUUUAGUUGUCGAUACGAGUACACAACAACUCUUCCCUCUUGCAUCAGCACACAUCCCAAACCACUGUAAGAAGCAUCACAAUACACCGAGAAUGGCUUGUGAACAUCAGGCAGAACUAAGACAGGUGUUGUAGUUAACUUCUAUUUCAGCGCUUCAAACGCCUCUUGGCACUUCUGAGUGCACUUAAACUCGAAUUUAUUUUCUAGCAAGGCUAUCAUGGGUCUAGCAAUCUUUGAAAAACCUUCAAUGAAAUGCCGAUAGUAUUUGACCAUUCCAAUGAAACUCUUGAUUCCACGAACAUCUUUCAGUGCUUUCUAGUUUAGAAUGUCUGCUACCUUCUUUGGAUCCAUAGCUAACCCAUCUCUGCUUAUGAUGUGACCCAAGAACAUGACUUCAUGAAUCCAUAACUCGCAUUUACUCACCUUCGCAUAUAACUGAUGUUCUCAUAACCUUAGCAAUGCCAUCUUCAAAUGAUCCACAUGCUCUUCCUCACUUUGAGAAUAUAUGAGAAUGUCGUCGAUAAACACCACCAUAGACUUAUCUAGGUAAUCCAUGAACAUAGUGUUCAUCAGAUACAUGAAGAACGAUGGCGCAUUCAUCAAGC
rnacentral:lncRNA from 1 species